UCCUACGGGAGGCAGCAGUAGGGAAUCUUCGGCAAUGGACGAAAGUCUGACCGAGCAACGCCGCGUGAGUGAAGAAGGUUUUCGGAUCGUAAAACUCUGUUGUUAGAGAAGAACGUUGUGUAGAGUGGAAAAUUACACAAGUGACGGUAUCUAACCAGAAAGGGACGGCUAACUACGUGCCAGCAGCCGCGGUAAUACGUAGGUCCCGAGCGUUGUCCGGAUUUAUUGGGCGUAAAGCGAGCGCAGGUGGUUUAAUAAGUCUGAUGUAAAAGGCAGUGGCUCAACCAUUGUGUGCAUUGGAAACUGUUAGACUUGAGUGCAGUAGAGGAGAGUGGAAUUCCAUGUGUAGCGGUGAAAUGCGUAGAUAUAUGGAGGAACACCGGUGGCGAAAGCGGCUCUCUGGACUGUAACUGACACUGAGGCUCGAAAGCGUGGGUAGCAAACAGGAUUAGAUACCCUGGUAGUCCACGCCGUAAACGAUGAGUGCUAGUUGUUUGGGGCUAUCCAGCCCUAAGUGACGCAGCAAACGCAUUAAGCACUCCGCCUGGGGAGUACGACCGCAAGGUUGAAACUCAAAGGAAUUGACGGA
rnacentral:rRNA from 1 species